GGAAUCAACCUUCCGCCGAGCCUCGUCCAACCAGUCGAACACAGGGCGAAACUUUGUGUCAUCAUCGUUUCUGUUAUUUGCCAAUUUCAUCGCGUUUCUAAUUUAUCCUUUUUCUAAGAUUUGCGCUCUUUCGCCGCACUCUUCUCGUGUUCAAGAUCGGAUCGCCACCGAGCGGAUCUGGAGCUUUUCGAAGAGGUGCUAUAUCACACAGAGGAUCUAUGGACAUGUGGCUUCUCCCAUUAGAUUCUCGCAUUUUCUCUGAAUUGGAUUUCGAUGGCUGGUGAUGAUUCAGGUCCGAAAGGAUCUUAGCGGAUUUCGGUGAGGCGGACUUGUCUGCCGUUGAUCGAUUCAUGUUGUUACACAUUCUGAAGCCCGCUCCUUCCAUUAUCUUCUGCUGAUUUCGUUCUUGUUUUCAUUUAUUAUCCUGGUAGUUCUAGUGAUGUGAUGAUGAUUCAUAGAGGUUUUUGGCAGUGGUGUUAUCUGUCACCAUGAGCCUUCUAACCAAAAACGAUUUCUCUUUCCACUGAGCAUUGCUUAAUUUUGUGUUCAUCUUUUCUUUUUGCUGUUGGUGAAGAACUCAGACCAGGAAGUGCCGUAUGGCACUCUAAAUAGCAGCUGCUCUGCCGCUGUAAGUGGUCCAUCCCUGUAUCAUAACCUCUGGUUUUUUCUGGGGUGGAAAUCCCAUUUGCAACCGCUUUUUUCAGCCGUGUGAAUUAUUUGAAACGGGUGUCUGAGGGCAAUCCUCUCUGCUGUUUUCUUGGCCCUGAUGCCACGUCUCUGGUUGCCACAAGCCUUCAACGGAGAUGCUACAUUGUGCUGAUAGAGAUUUUCACAUUCGAUAAGAACCCGUGGUUGUGAUUCAGGCGGUACACAGGGCUGUUUUGUGUGAUUACAUUUCUUGCUUGACGUGAGUAUUCAGUGUUGCUGAUUUUAAAUUGAGGAAAAUAAUGGCAAUGAUGAUUGAACAAAGGCUUGUUUCUCAAAACAUUCACAGAUGCCGCAUAAGAGCUUUCGCCCUGCCAGGCUUGAGAGCUAAUGCUGCUAAUUCCUUCCUUGGAUGUCUGAGUCAUGUUGAUUUGCCCAGUUUUUAUCUUUUUUUGGGUGCCUCUUAUCUUUGUCCUCAUAUAGGACAAUUCACCAAUUGCUGCAGAUAAUAAAUAAAUACAAUGUCUUGGGCCAUCAUUUGCCAGAA